GGCGAACGCUGGCGGCAGGCCUAACACAUGCAAGGCGAACGAACCCUUCGGGGUUAGUGGCGGACGGGUGAGUAACACGUGGGAACGUGCCUUUAGGUCCGGAAUAACUCAGGGAAACUUGUGCUAAUACCGAAUGUGCCCUUCGGGGGAAAGAUUUAUCGCCUUUAGAGCGGCCCGCGUCUGAUUAGCUAGUUGGUGAGGUAAUGGCUCACCAAGGCUACGAUCAGUAGCUGGUCUGAGAGGAUGACCAGCCACAUUGGGACUGAGACACGGCCCAAACUCCUACGGGAGGCAGCAGUGGGGAAUCUUGCGCAAUGGGCGAAAGCCUGACGCAGCCAUGCCGCGUGGAUGAUGAAGGUCUUAGGAUUGUAAAAUCCUUUCACCGGUGAAGAUAAUGACUGUAGCCGGAGAAGAAGCCCCGGCUAACUUCGUGCCAGCAGCCGCCGUAAGAC
rnacentral:rRNA from 1 species